rnacentral:rRNA from 1 species
ACGGCUCAGUAACACGUGGACAACCUGCCCUUAGGUUGGGUAUAAACCCGGGAAACUGGGUAUAAUACCCGAUAGGUCUCGAUUGCUGGAAUGCAUCGAGAUUUAAAGCUCCGGCGCCUAAGGAUGGGUCUGCGGCCUAUCAGGUAGUAGUGGGUGUAGCGUACCUACUAGCCUACGACGGGUACGGGUUGUGAGAGCAAGAGCCCGGAGAUGGAUUCUGAGACACGAAUCCAGGCCCUACGGGGUGCAGCAGGCGCGAAAACUUUACAAUGCUGGCAACAGCGAUAAGGGAACCUCGAGUGCCAGGUUACAAAUCUGGCUGUCGAGAUGCCUAAAAAGCAUUUCAUAGCAAGGGCCGGGCAAGACCGGUGCCAGCCGCCGCGGUAACACCGGCGGCUCGAGUGGUAACCGUUAUUAUUGGGUCUAAAGGGUCUGUAGCCGGCCGGAUAAGUCUCUUGAGAAAUCUGGCAGCUUAACUGUCAGGCUUUCAGGAGAUACUGUCUGGCUCGAGGCCGGGAGAGGUGAGAGGUACUUCAGGGGUAGGGGUGAAAUCUUGUAAUCCUUGAAGGACCACCAGUGGCGAAGGCGUCUCACCAGAACGGACCUGACGGCAAGGGACGAAAGCUAGGGGCACGAACCGGAUUAGAUACCCGGGUAGUCCUAGCCGUAAACGAUACUCGCUAGGUGUCGGCCACGGUGCGACCGUUGUCGGUGCCGUAGGGAAGCCGUGAAGCGAGCCACCUGGGAAGUACAGCCGCAAGGCUGAAACUUAAAGGAAUUGGCGGGGGAGCACCACAACGGGUGGAGCUUGCGGUUUAAUUGGAUUCAACGCCGGAAAUCUUACCGGGACCGACAGCAAUAUGAAGGCCAGGCUGAAGACUUUGCCGGAUUAGCUGAGAGGUGGUGCAUGGCCGUCGUCAGUUCGUACUGUGAAGCAUCCUGUUAAGUCAGGCAACGAGCGAGACCCCCGCC